CCUGCCGGACCUGACUGCUAUCGGAUUGAUACUAAGCCAUGCGAGUCUUUGUAGUAAUACAAGGCAUACGGCUCAGUAACACGUAGUCAACCUACCCUAUGGACAAGAAUAAUCUCGGGAAACUGGGCAUAAUUCUUGAUAGAUCAUAAUGCCUGGAAUGGUUUAUGGUUAAAAUGAUUCGUCGCCAUAGGAUGGGACUGCGGCCUAUCAGCUUGUUGGUGAGGUAAUGGCCCACCAAGGCGAUUACAGGUACGGGCUCUGAGAGGAGAAGCCCGGAGAUGGGUACUGAGACACGGACCCAGGCCCUAUGGGGCGCAGCAGGCGAGAAAACUUUGCAAUGUGCGAAAGCACGACAAGGUUAAUCCGAGUGAUUUCUGCUAAAGAAAUCUUUUGCCAGUCAUAAAACCACUGGUGAAUAAGGGGUGGGCAAGUUCUGGUGUCAGCCGCCGCGGUAAAACCAGCACCUCAAGUGGUCAGGAUGAUUAUUGGGCCUAAAGCAUCCGUAGCCGGCUUUGUUAGUUUUCGGUUAAAUCCAUGUGCUCAACGCAUGGGCUGCCGAAAAUACUGCAUAGCUAGGGAGUGGGAGAGGUAGACGGUACUCAGUAGGAAGGGGUAAAAUCCUUUGAUCUAUUGAUGACCACCUGUGGCGAAGGCGGUCUACCAGAACACGUUCGACGGUGAGGGAUGAAAGCUGGGGGAGCAAACCGGAUUAGAUACCCGGGCAGUCCCAGCUGUAAACGAUGCAGACUCGAUGAUGCAUUGGCAUAAUAGCCAGUGCAGUGUCGCAGGGAAGCCGUUAAGUCUGCCGCCUGGGAAGUACGUACGCAAGUAUGAAACUUAAAGGAAUUGGCGGGGG
rnacentral:rRNA from 1 species